rnacentral:rRNA from 1 species
AUUGAACGCUGGCGGCACGCCUAACACAUGCAAGUCGAGCGGCAGCGAGACUAGUAGCAAUACUAGUUGUCGGCGAGCGGCGGACGGGUGAGUAACACGUAGGAAUCUGCCCUUAAGCGGGGGAUAACCAAGGGAAACUUUGGCUAAUACCGCAUAAUCUCGAGAGAGCAAAGCUGCCCGCAAGGGUGGCACUUGAGGAGGAGCCUGCGUCCGAUUAGCUAGUUGGUGGGGUAAUGGCCUACCAAGGCGAUGAUCGGUAACUGGUCUGAGAGGACGACCAGUCACACGGGGACUGAGACACGGCCCAGACUCCUACGGGAGGAAGCAGUGGGGAAUAAUGGACAAUGGGGGCAACCCUGAUCCAGCGAUGCCGCGUGAGUGAAGAAGGCCUUCGGGUCGUAAAGCUCUUUAGGUUGGGAAGAAGUGUAUUGGCUGAAUAAUCCAGUACAUUGACGGUACCGACAGAAUAAGCACCGGCAAACUCUGUGCCAGCCGCCGCCGUAAUAC